UUUCCCUCAGGAUAGCUGGCACUCGCUUGAGCGAGUCUCAUCUGGUAAAGCGAAUGAUUAGAGGCCUUGGGGCCGAAACGACCUCAACCUAUUCUCAAACUUUAAAUGGGUGAGAUCUCUGGCUUGCUUGAACGUUGAAGCCACGAGAUAUAUUUUUUAUAUAAUGGAUCAGAGUGCCAAGUGGGCCAAUUUUGGUAAGCAGAACUGGCGCUGUGGGA
rnacentral:rRNA from 1 species